rnacentral:lncRNA from 1 species
AUCACAAGCGAUUCCUUCUCAUUUCGAUCGGCUCUCGAGCUCGACGAAGGUUUUGACCCUGCUCGAUCGUCUUUGUUCUGAAGCUCCGAUCCUCGUGGCAAGACCACCAGUGACCGGCCGGGUGGUGUUUGGUAGCUGCCGCCGUUGAGCGACGAUGGAGCCAGAGCUGCAGGCGGCGCUGGUGAAGGUGGGCGUGUUCGUGCUGGUGCAGGCGCUGGUGUACCUCAUCCUGUCGCAGUCCUCCACCGUGUUCUCGCGCACCAAGAGCCUCGGCCUCCGCCCCGCGCGCUCCCUCAGCGCGCGCCGCAUGGUCGCGAUGCUCUCCGACCUGCCGCUCGCCGGGGAGCCCUCGCCCGUCGCCGCCUUCGCCAGGACGCGGUCGUCGUCGUUGUCGUCGCCCCUGCUCGCCGCCGACCACCUGGAGGACUGAUGAGAGGCCGCCGGUCGGCCGUGCGGGCGUGCCGCGUAGCUAGCUUAGCUAACGAGCUCCUCAUCACCAUUCAUUCAUUCUUUUGAUCGAUCGAGGCGUGUGGGUUUGAGUACUUUGGUUGUAAGUUGCUUGGUUGUCCAUAUUUCAUGGAACUUCGUUUUGCGCAUGUGAAUACUACUUCGUCGCAGUUCAGUAAAAUCGUGCUUGUGUAAUUCUGUUUUGUGAAGAUUUUGGAAGGGGAUCAUCCCAUCUGUCAUCUGUGAAUUGAAAUGGGGGAUGAACUGAUGAUUAGACCUUCUCAUGCAAAGGAUUCGGUCGCUAUGAUUUAUCUUUUCAUGCGAAUCAUCUUCCUUUUCUAUCAGCAAAGGAAGUUAUGUGUUCCCCUAACAUGCGUGGAAGAACUAACUUGUUUUUUUUACCUUAAAUAAGAAACAUUAUUGCAGCAUAGAUCAAUUCCCA